CAGGUGCACUCAAGUACUAUUUGAGAAGGUCCGGUCACAAAGUUCCCGCAACACGUGCGAACCCAAACUGUUGACGCACCUCUUGUUGGCUGAGAUAACUUUUGCAGUGUUAAAGCUAAUUUCACGCAAUUCUACCGAUUUUGCACGUGGCAGAGUUUUUCUUCUGUUUACAGCUAAUUUCCUGCAAUUCUAUGCAUUAUUUCAUGUAUUGUGUGUGUUUAUAUGAUACCGGGUCACAACUCAAGUCGACUACAAAAUCCACAAUGCAAUGCCUCUCUAUGGGCUAUUAGCAAGCAAGCAACCGUAACUAUACACAAAAAUACCAAAGUCAAUAUCAGCAUGUAACGUAGCUAGUUAGCUGUAAAAUCUCCACUAUCACUUUAGGAGUCUUCAAUCGCACCAUGUUCAACCUGGGUCCUGUUUCAGAAAGCCGGUUUAGUGAAAACUCAAGAGUUGAAGGAAACGGAGUUUUCGGUUUGACAAAGCCAGUUGAGCUUAACUCUGAGUCAGUUACUAUGGCAACAUACUAUGUGAAGCUAACCUGCUCGCUGGCAGUUUCUUUUCAACUAACCCGGAGAUUCUCCUCUUCUUUGUUUUAGACAUCCGUGGCGCUUAGCAUAUUUCUAAGGCAACCGUCAGUCGGAUUGUCAGAAAUGUGACUCUUGCAUUGAAACGUUUACUGUACACUUUUGUGGUGUUCCAAGUCACAGACCCACAAGACUCAAACAAGAAUUCCAAAGAAUUGCAGGUAUCAGUCUAAGCAAUCAUUUAUUUAUUAUGAAGCUUUGAAACUUGAAAAACAAAUCAAUUAAUUUGAUAUAUUUUAGGGAUUUCAGGUGUGAUUGGCUUCAUAGAUGGCACUCUUAUUCCUAUCACACCUCCUUCAGUAAAUGAAGGAGAUUAUGUGAAUUGUGAAUAGGAAGUCUUUCCACAGCAUUAAUGUGCAGGUAGGCCUAAAUAGUAGCCUUUAGCAUUCCAAAUGAAAGACACUUCACAAUACAGCUACUGCAGCUAAGAUCAUGUUAUGCAGCCCACAUCAUCAGCAACGUGGAAGCAAAGUGGCCUGGGUCUGUGGCUGACUCGCACAUUUUUAAUGAGUGCGCUAGAUUUGUCCGUGGAGAGUUUGAUGGUUACCUGCUCGGUGACAGAGGGACAGGGUAUAGAUGACCAUUGGGAUGCUCAAGGCCCGGUUCCAGUGCCUUCGUAGGCUCAGGGUCAACCCAGAAAUGGAAAUGGACAUUAUUGUGGCAUGUGUGAUUCUGCACAACAUUGCCACAAUUAGAGGAGAACAAUGUCCUACUCAACCAGUGAACGAUCCUGAGAUGGAAGAGCAGUCAGACACAAUAUGCUACCAUCAUUUCUGAUUGACCCAUCACCUCCCCAGUGUCAAAUAAAUACAUUAUGCCUUUC